UACGUAGGGUGCGAGCGUUGUCCGGAAUUACUGGGCGUAAAGAGCUCGUAGGUGGUUUGUCGCGUUGUUCGUGAAAACUCACAGCUUAACUGUGGGCGUGCGGUCGAUACGGGCAUGACUGGAGUUCGGCAGGGGAGACUGGAAUUCCUGGUGUAGCGGUGAAAUGCGCAGAUAUCAGGAGGAACACCGGUGGCGAAGGCGGGUCUCUGGGCCGAUACUGACGCUGAGGAGCGAAAGCGUGGGGAGCGAACAGG
rnacentral:rRNA from 1 species